AUUGAACGCUGGCGGCAUGCCUUACACAUGCAAGUCGAACGGCAGCACGGGUGCUUGCCCCUGGUGGCGAGUGGCGAACGGGUGAGUAAUACAUCGGAACAUGUCCUGUAGUGGGGGAUAGCCCGGCGAAAGCCGGAUUAAUACCGCAUACGAUCUACGGAUGAAAGCGGGGGACCUUCGGGCCUCGCGCUAUAGGGUUGGCCGAUGGCUGAUUAGCUAGUUGGUGGGGUAAAGGCCUACCAAGGCGACGAUCAGUAGCUGGUCUGAGAGGACGACCAGCCACACUGGGACUGAGACACGGCCCAGACUCCUACGGGAGGCAGCAGUGGGGAAUUUUGGACAAUGGGCGAAAGCCUGAUCCAGCAAUGCCGCGUGUGUGAAGAAGGCCUUCGGGUUGUAAAGCACUUUUGUCCGGAAAGAAAUCCUUGGCCCUAAUACGGUCGGGGGAUGACGGUACCGGAAGAAUAAGCACCGGCUAGCUACGUG
rnacentral:rRNA from 1 species